CUCAAGUUGAAUAUACAGCUGACUUUGGCUGCCAAUUUGGGAGAAGUCUAAAAAUAAAACCCAAGUCCUUUUUGUAGUGUACUCCUUCCUCAUCGCCUCGGCUAGUUGGCAUGUUAUCCCUCGGCUAUUUGUGAUGCCACUCUUGCAAGACGGCGGCUUGAAGAGCUCGAUGUUCGACCUCUUCUGCACUCAACUUACAUAAGCGCUAUAUGCUCCAUCGACAUUUUCAGCCUCUCCGCAGCAGCCUCCUUCACUUCUUCCUCUGGCAUGUACUCAAUGCUACCAUCAGUCAGGUCGUCCAUCCACUCCUGCACGUCCGACCCCAUCUCCUUUGCUAUGUUUGCAUCCGAAGCUCUAACCACAAACUUGCACACCAUCGUUGCCGUUUCAUCACCAAGGUUUGAGUACCUGGAAUCCAGCAACUGUCCGGAUAAUAUGCGAGCAAACUUUAUGGAAAGGCUUCGACAACAGAGAUUUUAAGCCACUGAGGAAAGGAGACUCCCCAUACUGUUGUGCAGCAGUCGCCUUGAAACCAC